CUGUCCCUACAUCUCCACUGGCCUCUCCCUGCCAUGCUCGGGCCCUGCCACAUGGACACCUGGGCACUGAGCGCUGACUCGGGCUGCUCUGUCCUUCACAGGCAACUGUGGUGAUAUGGAAGAUGCUCCAGCUGCCCUGUGUCCCACAUGCAGUGACAGUGUAUUUCCCCCGUCUCUUGGUGCAUCUGCUCUUGCAAGUGCUCUUCAGCACAUUGGAUAUGCCAGAGAAGGUCGAUACUUUCUGGAAGAGAUGCCAGCAGCAACACGGCCUUGCCAUCAGCCCCAACAGGUUUGCAGUGCAGACCCUGAAGGCCCUGCUCUGCCGACUGCACUAUGAGGAUGUGGUGGCAGCAGUGGAAGACGAGUGUGGCUGGGACACGCUGCUGUGUGCUGGCACGCACCACUGUGCUGUGGGUGUGCUGGCCAGAGCAAUGCGUCACGUGUCCCUACCCUUGUGUUCUGCGAUUGCAUUCUACCUGCUCGGGCUGCUCAGCAAAGACACGGCACACGGGGAUUUGGCCGCCAUGGCGUUCCUUGUGGAGAUGUUGGAGUGCCUGGACUCGAGUGAAUACCGUGACAGCGUCCUGGAGAUCGCAUCAAACAAACUGCAGAGCGAGUGCAGGGAGAGGCGUCGCUUGGCACUCAGAGGCCUUGUGGUGCUCGGCAAGAAUUCCUCCAUGGCCAAAAGAAUGUGGGGCCUGCAUGAAAGGCUCGUGGAGCUCCUGGGGGAAAAUGACAGCCAUGUGCUUGGGAUGAGCAUCGCUCUCCUCAGCCGUUUGUUCCUGUACAAUGGUGGCCCGAUAACCAUCCCCCUCGGCCUGCAGCUGGCUGAGGCGCUCCUGCCGCUCUUUGACAAUGACGAUAGCCAGGUGCAGCUGUGCUCCAUGUUCAUCUUUCGAGAGAUGAUGGAUUUUCUACCAAAGGAGGGAAAAAAGGCCUUGAAGUCCCACGUGCAGCAGAGCCUGCUCCCACUCUCCUUGCACUGCCAUGACGAGAACCAGCGCGUGGUUGAUGUGAGGACUCGGCAGCUGCCGUGGCUCCCUGGCAGGGCGCUCGGCUGCCUCCUGCUCUGCUGCCUUGCAGGCUGCAGCUCCCUCCUGGUCUUGGCCCAGGGACGUGGGUCCUGUGCCCUGGGCUGUGGUGCCAUCUCUGGGUCUCUGCUGCUCUCCAGGCCUCCCGGGAAACGCUGCUCUGUUCCGCCCGAUUCCUGAAGAGGAAGGAUCUCCAGCAGAUGCUGCGGGUGGAUCAGACCUGGAGGUUCGGCGAGGGCCUGGUAAGGGCGGGCUGGAAGCCCCAGCCCCAGGCUGGAGAAGCUCAGUGUGUGCGGCUGGCAGCUGUGCCCUGCCCAGUGCCGCACCCAGGGCCGCCAGCCUGUGCCCCACACGCUGCUCCCUUCCCUGGGCCCCGCGGGCUCUACUCCAGCCCCCUGUGGCCCCGAGCCGUGUGCCCAUGGAGCCCCGGCACCGCUGGUCUGUCGGGCAAAGCAG
rnacentral:lncRNA from 1 species